AUUUAGUACCUAAAUUCUCAGUAGGCAUCAGAUUCUGUUUGAUCUUGGAAGCCAAACAAGGUCAUGUCUGGUUAUUACUUGGAUGGGAAACCACCAAGGAAUAUCUGAUGCUGGAGGCU
rnacentral:rRNA from 1 species